AACGAACGCUGGCGGCAUGCCUAACACAUGCAAGUCGAACGAGAUCUUCGGGUCUAGUGGCGCACGGGUGCGUAACGCGUGGGAAUCUGCCCUUUGGUUCGGAAUAACAGUUGGAAACGACUGCUAAUACCGGAUGAUGACGAAAGUCCAAAGAUUUAUCGCCAGAGGAUGAGCCCGCUUAGGGUUAGCUAGUUGGUGUGGUAAAGGCGCACCAAGGCGACGAUCCUUAGAUGGUCUGAGAGGAUGAUCAGCCACACUGGGACUGAAACACGGCCCAGACUCCUACGGGAGGCAGCAGUGGGGAAUAUUGGACAAUGGGCGAAAGCCUGAUCCAGCAAUGCCGCGUGAGUGAUGAAGGCCUUAGGGUUGUAAAGCUCUUUUACCCGGGAUGAUAAUGACAGUACCGGGAGAAUAAGCUCCGGCUAACUCCGUGCCAGCAGCCGCCGUAA
rnacentral:rRNA from 1 species